GCUGGCGUGGCGCAACUGGUAGCGCACCUGUCUUGUAAACAGGCGGUUAGGGGUUCGAGUCCCCUCGCCAGCUCCC
rnacentral:tRNA from 1 species